CAUUAUGUAAAGUCCAUCAGGGACGUGCCCUGGGGGAACACUGUAGGCCUGAUGGGUAUGGGCCAGUUCCUGGUGAAGACAGGAACCAUCAGCAUCUUUGAGCAUGCUUAUAACAUGCAGGUGAUAAAGUUCAGCGUGAACCCCAUUGUUAAGAGUUCCCACAGAAGCCAAGAACUAGCUGACCUGCCCAAGCCAGUGGAGGGGCUGAAGAGGGCGGCUAAGCCAGUCCGUAUGGUGCAACUCACCACUGAGGAAUCAGGGGAUCAUUUCAUCAAUGGGGUGAUGAGCUGCACCCAUUGAUCUGCCUGAAGGACGGAGAGAAGAACCACACUGGACAUCCUAGCCGGUCGUGUAGCACUGCGAGACCGUCAGCGAGGAGUCCCUCCGUGCUGUGCCCGUCCAAAGCUCCCAACAAGCAGAGCCGGCUGUACGAAAAAGGCAGCUCUUCCCCAACUCCAUAGCCAAGGACACUGACAAGAGGUGUCUGUCCUUCAGGAGCCCAAGUAGCAGGUCUCAAUCUGUCGAAAAGUGUGAGCAAGACAGUGCUGAGACCCCUGGUACUUUGGGCUCUCGAGCACAAGUCACCCAGCACUACCUCAGUGACAUCCAUCAGGACAGCAUGGCAGCCGGCUAUCAAGAGGUGGAGCUGUGAGGAGCACUCGCGGGGCGUUUGCUUCCACUUCCCCAGUCUGACGCUGUGCACAGAUCCAUACAGGGCUUCCCAUACCCGGUGCUGCCUCAACGCUGCGUGCUGACUGCCUGCCCCGGGCCGUGGAGCCCAUUCACCUGUUGAGAUGUGGUGUCCGCUACACUGUCCUGCACAGGAAGCGGGGCCACGUCUUCGAGGAGUCCCAGGUGGCCGGUACCCCCGUUUGCAUCGACAAGUCCUUUGGCUUCACCGCCAACCUCAGGACCCACGCAGGCAGGUACCUCCAGAUCCUGCCCGCAGACCCCUCUGACCACACCAGCUGCCCCAGCAGGUCGUGGGGGAGACGUGCAGGCACAAAGGCCUGAAGGAAGGCAUUCCAGCCCCAGACAACUUCCAGGACAGAUGA
rnacentral:lncRNA from 1 species